ACGAACGCUGGCGGCGUGCUUAACACAUGCAAGUCGAACGGAAAGGCCCUGCUUUUGUGGGGUGCUCGAGUGGCGAACGGGUGAGUAACACGUGAGUAACCUGCCCUUGACUUUGGGAUAACUUCAGGAAACUGGGGCUAAUACCGGAUAGGAGCUCCUGCUGCAUGGUGGGGGUUGGAAAGUUUCGGCGGUUGGGGAUGGACUCGCGGCUUAUCAGCUUGUUGGUGGGGUAGUGGCUUACCAAGGCUUUGACGGGUAGCCGGCCUGAGAGGGUGACCGGCCACAUUGGGACUGAGAUACGGCCCAGACUCCUACGGGAGGCAGCAGUGGGGAAUAUUGCACAAUGGGCGGAAGCCUGAUGCAGCAACGCCGCGUGCGGGAUGACGGCCUUCGGGUUGAAAACCGCUUUCGCCUGUGACGAAGCGUGAGUGACGGUAAUGGGUAAAGAAGCACCGGCUAACUACGUG
rnacentral:rRNA from 1 species